CAGCAGCCGCGGGAAUACGAAGGGUGCAAGCGUUACUCGGAAUUACUGGGCGUAAAGCGUGCGUAGGUGGUGGUUUAAGUCCGUUGUGAAAGCCCUGGGCUCAACCUGGGAAUUGCAGUGGAUACUGGGUCACUAGAGUGUGGUAGAGGAUAGUGGAAUUUCCGGUGUAGCAGUGAAAUGCGUAGAGAUCGGAAGGAACAUCUGUGGCGAAGGCGACUAUCUGGGCCAACACUGACACUGAGACACGAAAGCGUGGGGAGCAAACAGGAUUAGAUACCCGUGUAGUCCCUGUCUCUUAUGC
rnacentral:rRNA from 1 species